rnacentral:rRNA from 1 species
UACGGAGGAUCCGAGCGUUAUCCGGAUUUAUUGGGUUUAAAGGGUGCGUAGGCGGCCUGGUAAGUCAGGGGUGAAAGACGGUAGCUUAACUAUCGCAGUGCCCUUGAUACUGCUGGGCUUGAAUGUAGUUGAGGUAGGCGGAAUGUGACAAGUAGCGGUGAAAUGCAUAGAUAUGUCACAGAACACCAAAUUGCGAAGGCAGCUUACUAAAAGUAUGAUUGACGCUGAGGCACGAAAGCGUGGGGAUCAAACAGG